GUCCAUGCCCUAAACGAUGAGCGCUAGACGUCGCGGGCGCAAGCUUGCGGUGUCGCAGCUAACGCGUUAAGCGCUCCGCCUGGGGAGUACGGUCGCAAGAUUAAAACUCAAAGGAAUUGACGGGGGCCCCGCACAAGCGGUGGAGCAUGUGGUUUAAUUCGACGCAACGCGAAGAACCUUACCUGGGUUUGAACUGCAGUGGACCGGUGCAGAGAUGCACUUUUUCUUCGGAACCGCUGUGGAGGUGCUGCAUGGCUGUCGU
rnacentral:rRNA from 1 species